GUUGCCGCUGCCGGAGAAGCUGUUGUGGUCACCGGAACCAUCACCGGAGCUUUUGCAGUUUGAUUCAGUCUUUAAUCCUUUCUCAAGGGUCAAGCUCCGGUUAUUGUGGGUCACGAUUAAAGCUGCCGCCGAACCGGUUCGGAGACCGCCGCUGUUCGGUUCAUCCGUUCCUUCUUCAUUUCGUGUUGCUAUGGUUAUUGCGAACGUGACUUGGAGCUGAGGUUUUGGUUGCCGUCAGUUCG